rnacentral:tRNA from 1 species
GCCUAUAGCUCAGCUGGUUAGAGCACUUGACUCAUAAUCAAGGGGUCCCAGGUUCGAGCCCUGGUGGG